CGGUCGCAACGGUCGCCUCGCGCGGCCAGCCAACGUUCUAGAACUUUGUUUCGCUUUGUGUGUCCCGCUCGCCGUCUGUUCCUUCGGUCCCACCCGGGGCGGCUGGCCUCGUCAGUGUACGGUGAAGCCUCACAGAGCGAACGUUUCAAGGCAGCAGCUGAAAACACAGCAAAUAACAAUGCAGUUUUACUUCCAGCUCCUGACUGAGAAUUUGAUGAGAUAUUGAUGUGAGGGAUGGCUUGCUUCUCAGCAGAAUGCUUUUACUGAACCGACUCUGGCUAGGUUUCCCCAGCCUCUUGGGACAACUGAGAAUCUCCGCACAUUGCUUUAGGAAGCUUUGCUGUAUUUUCUCUCGACUUGCCACCUCUUCUUCUGACUGCUGCGAGCGACUUAUUUCAAGAGGCUCUGCUACGCACAUCAAGCUCAUUUAGGUAUGCAACAAAUUGAAGGAAACAAGAUCGACUGUGCCUUGUGCCCCCUUAGAUGAGCUUUGCUGCUGCUGCUGAUAAAUGCAGGUUGAGACAAAUAAGCCACAGUGCAGCUUACCAGAUUGCCGGCAAAGACGUCAGAAAAUGACACACUCUCAGUUGAUGUAUAGACCUAGAGACUGAAGUCGUUCGCUCCUCGCGCUGUAUUGGUGUGCUAUAUUCAUUUGCUCAGACAUAGCAACAUUUGCUGCAAAUAUUCUUCCAGUGUGAAGAUUGUCUUCUAUAAUAAGGUUCCUACAUUUCCUGGGAGGAUAGGGAACUGCUGUGCCUUUAAGAAUUGCACUGAAAGGAAAAUUCCAUCAGGCACAGCUUUUCUCUCCUAUAAUAAACUUUAUCUGUCUGCCCUAAAGCUACAUACA